GAUGAACGCCGGCGGUGUGCCUAAUACAUGCAAGUCGUACGCACUGGCCCAACUGAUUAAUGGUGCUUGCACCUGAUUGACGAUGGAUCACCAGUGAGUGGCGGACGGGUGAGUAACACGUAGGUAACCUGCCCCGGAGCGGGGGAUAACAUUUGGAAACAGAUGCUAAUACCGCAUAACAACAAAAGCCACAUGGCUUUUGUUUAAAAGAUGGCUUUGGCUAUCACUCUGGGAUGGACCUGCGGUGCAUUAGCUAGUUGGUAAGGUAACGGCUUACCAAGGCGAUGAUGCAUAGCCGAGUUGAGAGACUGAUCGGCCACAAUGGAACUGAGACACGGUCCAUACUCCUACGGGAGGCAGCAGUAGGGAAUCUUCCACAAUGGGCGCAAGCCUGAUGGAGCAACACCGCGUGAGUGAAGAAGGGUUUCGGCUCGUAAAGCUCUGUUGUUGGAGAAGAACGUGCGUGAGAGUAACUGUUCACGCAGUGACGGUAUCCAACCAGAAAGUCACGGCUAACUACGUGCCAGCAGCCGCGGUAAUACGUAGGUGGCAAGCGUUAUCCGGAUUUAUUGGGCGUAAAGCGAGCGCAGGCGGUUGCUUAGGUCUGAUGUGAAAGCCUUCGGCUUAACCGAAGAAGUGCAUCGGAAACCGGGCAACUUGAGUGCAGAAGAGGACAGUGGAACUCCAUGUGUAGCGGUGGAAUGCGUAGAUAUAUGGAAGAACACCAGUGGCGAAGGCGGCUGUCUGGUCUGCAACUGACGCUGAGGCUCGAAAGCAUGGGUAGCGAACAGGAUUAGAUACCCUGGUAGUCCAUGCCGUAAACGAUGAGUGCUAGGUGUUGGAGGGUUUCCGCCCUUCAGUGCCGGAGCUAACGCAUUAAGCACUCCGCCUGGGGAGUACGACCGCAAGGUUGAAACUCAAAGGAAUUGACGGGGGCCCGCACAAGCGGUGGAGCAUGUGGUUUAAUUCGAAGCUACGCGAAGAACCUUACCAGGUCUUGACAUCUUGCGCUAACCUUAGAGAUAAGGCGUUCCCUUCGGGGACGCAAUGACAGGUGGUGCAUGGUCGUCGUCAGCUCGUGUCGUGAGAUGUUGGGUUAAGUCCCGCAACGAGCGCAACCCUUGUUACUAGUUGCCAGCAUUAAGUUGGGCACUCUAGUGAGACUGCCGGUGACAAACCGGAGGAAGGUGGGGACGACGUCAGAUCAUCAUGCCCCUUAUGACCUGGGCUACACACGUGCUACAAUGGACGGUACAACGAGUCGCAAGCUCGCGAGAGUAAGCUAAUCUCUUAAAGCCGUUCUCAGUUCGGACUGUAGGCUGCAACUCGCCUACACGAAGUCGGAAUCGCUAGUAAUCGCGGAUCAGCAUGCCGCGGUGAAUACGUUCCCGGGCCUUGUACACACCGCCCGUCACACCAUGGGAGUUUGUAACGCCCAAAGUCGGUGGCCUAACCUUUAUGGAGGGAGCCGCCUAAGGCGGGACAGAUGACUGGGGUGAAGUCGU
rnacentral:rRNA from 2 species